UCCCCUCUCCUUCCUUUCCUCUAUCACCGCUAGGUUUCUUCCAUCUCCUUUCCUUUCCUCUAUCACCGCUAGGUUUCCUCUCUCCCACCCCUUCUUUCCUUUCGUAUUUGCAGCGCACCAGGUUCUUCCCUCUUCGCAGUAAGCAAGGAGUUCAAAGGUGCGGCCACACUCAAGGGGGUCGCAGCCUCUCCAAACCACUAGUUUACUAGCGGUCGAUUUGCGAAUGGCUGCAUGCGAGGGGGUCGAUGCCUCACGAGGCAGUCCGUUCACAAACGGUUGCACACGAGGGGGUCUAAGCAGUGGCCUGUAGUGAGGCAACGACAUCGUUAUCUGCUUCUGAAACUCUCGUGUUUUUCCAUCUCCAUAUACUGGUAAGCUUUUCAAGAAGAUGGAAUUGCACAAGCUAGCAGAUAUGCUACUGAGGAUUCAAUUAAGUCAUGGCUUAAUGAAUUACUUUGCUUGGAUGUUGCAAGUUACAUUCCAAAUAUCACUAUACUUCCACAUCCAAGUGAAUGUGCCCUUUACUAUGUCAACCGAGAUAUACUUUUCUAAUAUCACAAGGAGAGUGAGAUAUGUUUAUAGGUUUGUCUCUCCAUUGUGGAAUUCAAUGAUAUUUUUUCUCCUCAUAGAGAGAAGACUACACUUGAGCAUGAGCCUAGCUUGUGGUUGCUGCAGUUGGCUUCAAGGCAAGAAGGCCUGAGAUCCCAAGUACUGUAAAUAGACAUGUGGCUGCCAUAAUUGAGUCCUGUUGGGCCAGCGAGCCAUGGAAAAGGCCUUCUUUUUCUAGUAUCAUGGAAUCCUUGAAGCCUCUAAUCAAGACUCAGUCACCUCAACCGUUACAUUCUGAUAUGUCUAGUAUC